UACGAAGGGUGCAAGCGUUACUCGGAAUUACUGGGCGUAAAGGGUGCGUAGGUGGGUUGGUAAGUCAGUGGUGAAAUCCCCGAGCUUAACUUGGGAACUGCCAUUGAUACUAUCAGUCUUGAAUACCGUGGAGGUCAGCGGAAUAUGUCAUGUAGCGGUGAAAUGCUUAGAUAUGACAUAGAACACCAAUUGCGAAGGCAGCUGGCUACUCGGAUAUUGACACUGAGGCACGAAAGCGUGGGGAUCAAACAGG
rnacentral:rRNA from 1 species